rnacentral:rRNA from 1 species
ACGUAUCCAACCUGCCGACAACACUGGGAUAGCCUUUCGAAAGAAAGAUUAAUACCGGAUGGCAUAGUCUUCCCGCAUGGGAUGACUAUUAAAGAAUUUCGGUUGUCGAUGGGGAUGCGUCCCAUUAGGCAGUUGGCGGGGUAACGGCCCACCAAACCAACGAUGGAUAGGGGUUCUGAGAGGAAGGUCCCCCACAUUGGAACUGAGACACGGUCCAAACUCCUACGGGAGGCAGCAGUGAGGAAUAUUGGUCAAUGGACGAGAGUCUGAACCAGCCAAGUAGCGUGAAGGAUGACUGCCCUAUGGGUUGUAAACUUCUUUUAUACGGGAAUAAAGUGAGCCACGUGUGGCUUUUUGUAUGUACCGUAUGAAUAAGGAUCGGCUAACUCCGUGCCAGCAGCCGCGGUAAUACGGAGGAUCCGAGCGUUAUCCGGAUUUAUUGGGUUUAAAGGGAGCGUAGGCGGGUUGUUAAGUCAGUUGUGAAAGUUUGCGGCUCAACCGUAAAAUUGCAGUUGAUACUGGCGACCUUGAGUGCAACAGAGGUAGGCGGAAUUCGUGGUGUAGCGGUGAAAUGCUUAGAUAUCACGAAGAAC